AACGAGGAAACCGGUGUGAAUCCGGCGCGGUCCCGCCACUGUGAUCGGCGAGCGGAUCCCGGGCAGGCCACCGCGGGUGCGGGAAGGCCGGGACGAGCAUCGACCCGAGAGCCAGGAGACUC
rnacentral:ncRNA from 2 species